UACGAAGGGGGGCUAGCGUUGUUCGGAAUCACUGGGCGUAAAGCGCACGUAGGCGGAUCUUUUAAGUCAGAGGUGAAAUCCCAAGGCUCAACCUUGGAACUGCCUUUGAUACUGGGGAUCUUGAGUCCGGGAGAGGUGAGUGGAACUGCGAGUGUAGAGGUGAAAUUCGUAGAUAUUCGCAAGAACACCAGUGGCGAAGGCGGCUCACUGGCCCGGUACUGACGCUGAGGUGCGAAAGCGUGGGGAGCAAACAGG
rnacentral:rRNA from 1 species